CGCGAAAAACACUUCGGUGUGAGUAAAGCGGCGGACGGGUGAGUAACGCGUAGGAAUCUACCUAGUAGUGGGGGACAACUCGGGGAAACUCGAGCUAAUACCGCAUACGCCCUACGGGGGAAAGCGGGGGACCUUCGGGCCUCGUGCUAUUAGAUGAGCCUGCGUUGGAUUAGCUAGUUGGUGGGGUAAAGGCCUACCAAGGCGACGAUCCAUAGCUGGUCUGAGAGGAUGAUCAGCCACACCGGGACUGAGACACGGCCCGGACUCCUACGGGAGGCAGCAGUGGGGAAUAUUGCGCAAUGGGCGAAAGCCUGACGCAGCCAUGCCGCGUGUGUGAAGAAGGCCUUCGGGUUGUAAAGCACUUUCAAUUGGGAGGAAAGGUUCACGGUUAAUAACCGUGAGCUGUGACGCUACCUUUAGAAGAAGCACCGGCUAACUCCGUGCCAGCAGCCGCGGUAAUACGGAGGGUGCGAGCGUUAAUCGGAAUUACUGGGCGUAAAGCGCGCGUAGGUGGUCUGUUAAGUCGGAUGUGAAAGCCCCGGGCUCAACCUGGGAACUGCAUCCGAUACUGGCAAACUAGAGUGCGGGAGAGGGAGGUAGAAUUCCAUGUGUAGCGGUGAAAUGCGUAGAUAUGUGGAGGAAUACCAGUGGCGAAGGCGGCCUCCUGGCUCGACACUGACACUGAGGCGCGAAAGCGUGGGGAGCAAACAGGAUUAGAUACCCUGGUAGUCCACGCCGUAAACGAUGUCUACUAGCUGUAGGGGUACUUGAGACCUUUGUAGCGCAGCUAACGCAAUAAGUAGACCGCCUGGGGAGUACGGCCGCAAGGUUAAAACUCAAAUGAAUUGACGGGGGCCCGCACAAGCAGUGGAGCAUGGUGGUUUAAUUCGAUGCAACGCGAAGAACCUUACCAGGCCUUGACAUCCUCGGA
rnacentral:rRNA from 1 species